rnacentral:rRNA from 1 species
CCCUUAGACGUUCUGGGCCGCACGCGCGCUACACUGACCAGUGCAACAAGCAUCCGUCCUUGGCCGACAGGCCCGGGCAAUCUUUGAACGCUGGUCGUGGUGGGGAUAGACUUUUGCAAUUUUUGGUCUUCAACGAGGAAUUCCUAGUAAACGCAAGUCAUCAACUUGCAUUGAUUACGUCCCUGCCCUUUGUACACACCGCCCGUCGCACCUACCGAUUGAAUGGUCCGGUGAAGCCUCCGGAUUGGUGCGCACCUCGGUGCCGCCGAGAAGUUGGCUAAACCUUACCAUUUAGAGGAAGGUGAAGUCGUAACA